rnacentral:rRNA from 1 species
AGGCGAACGGCUGAGUAACACGUGGGCAACCUGCCCUUUGCACUGGGAUAGCCUCGGGAAACCGAGGUUAAUACCGGAUACUCCAUAUUUGUCGCAUGGCGAAUAUGGGAAAGCUCCGGCGGCAAAGGAUGGGCCCGCGGCCUGUUAGCUAGUUGGUGGGGUAGUGGCCUACCAAGGCAAUGAUGGGUAGCCGGGUUGAGAGACCGACCAGCCAGAUUGGGACUGAGACACGGCCCAGACUCCUACGGGAGGCAGCAGCG